rnacentral:sRNA from 1 species
UUGAAUAAAUAUAAAUAUGCGUUUUAAGCUUUGUAAGCAUUAAAUAUGCAUUCGCUUCGACGUAGAUAUUAUUUACGUUAUAGCUGCAUAGUGAAUCAAUCUCAGCACAAGGAAUUUCAUUUAUUCCUUGCAUGA